UCCUGUACCUGCUCUCAUUAAAAGUGACGGAUUACCCAGAUGUUUACGUGGCGACGGAAGUCCACGUUGAGCCUAUCUGCUUGCAGAGAAGCGAAAACAAGUAAGUAGUCCCUAGAAAAGCGAGAGAAGCAGCCCGUACCGUAAACCGACACAGGUAGUUGGGAUGAGUAUUCUAAGGCGCUCGAGUGAUUCAUGGCUAAGGAACUAGGCAAAAUUGACCCGUAACUUCGGGAGAAGGGUCGCCCACAGUAAUGUGGGCCGCAGUGAAUAGGUCCAGGCGACUGUUUAUCAAAAACACAGGACUCUGCUAAGACGAAAGUCGAUGUAUAGGGUCUGACACCUGCCCGGUGCCGGAAGGUUAAGUGGAGCUGUUAUCUUCGGAGAAGCAGUCAAAUGAAGCCCCGGUAAACGGCGGCCGUAACUAUAACGGUCCUAAGGUAGCGAAAUUCCUUGUCGGGUAAGUUCCGACCUGCACGAAUGGUGUAACGACUUGGGCACUGUCUCGGCCAUGAGCUCGGUGAAAUUGUGGUAUCGGUGAUGACGCCGAUUACCCGCAGCGGGACGAAAAGACCCCGUGAACCUUUACUACAACUUUACAUUGGCUUUAGCUGUAGCAUGUGUAGGAUAGGCGGGAGGCUGUGAAGAGACGUCGCCAGGCGUUUUGGAGCCACCCUUGAAAUACCGCCCUUGCUACAGGUGAAGUCUAACCCGGAAGCGGGAACAGUGUAUGGUGGGUAGUUUGACUGGGGCGGUCGCCUCCUAAAGAGUAACGGAGGCUCCCAAAGGUACCCUCAGCACGGUUGGCAAUCGUGCGUAGAGUGUAAAAGCAUAAGGGUGCUUGACUGCGAGACAUACAGGUCGAGCAGGCACGAAAGUGGGGUUUAGUGAUCCGGUGGCACCGCAUGGAAGGGCCAUCGCUCAAAGGAUAAAAGGUACUCCGGCGAUAACAGGCUUAUCUCCCCCAAUAGUUCAUAUCGACGGGGAGGUUUGGCACAUUUGAUCAUCAGAUAAUUCUCGAGCUACACCCAGACCGCCAGCAGCAAGGUUG
rnacentral:rRNA from 1 species